CCAGUUGCAGACAGCAGAGUAAAAGCAAGUACAAAUAAAUACAUAAACAACAAACUGCACAAUGUGAUGUAAACAAACUGUACACAAAACAUACACACAGAACAUAAUACAAUACAAAGCACAAAUAAACAGACAAAAUCUUCCUGUCCAAUCAAAAUACACUGUAGCUCCCUUAACAUUGGCACUUUGCAUACAGGAGGUCGAGGUACAAAAUAAAGAACACGAUAAUAGUAAGAAGUAACAUCAAAUGUUCCUUACUUAGUAAUUAGAUAGAAACCACAAACUACCUUAACAAAAUCCACCAUCAAUAGCAUAUUCCUUCUAUUUGUAAUCAAGGGUAAGGAUUAUGAGCCCAACUCAACCAACAAGUGGGGGGAAAGGCUAUGCAUCCAGCAGACGUUCGACUGCCAUUCCAGUACGCAGUGCAGACAAAAAAAGGUUGUGCUUUGAGCAGAAGUAGGGACUGGUUUCAAGGAGAAUGACAACCACACAAGAUCCCAUUCACUGCCACCAAGGAAUAUAAUCCAGACAUGGAUAAAACUUUGCUAGAUUUUAUGCGCAAGGGUCGCGGGAGUGCUGGAGCCCAUCCCAGCUAUCAUCGGGCAGGAGGCGGGGUACACCCUGGACUGGUCGCCAGCCAAUCGCAGGGCACACAUAAAAAACGGUGAUGUAACACAGUGGUAAACAUGACCCUGUCCCAGCUUUUUUGGAAUGUGUUGCAGCCUUAAAAUUUAAUGAUUAUUUGCUAAAAACAAAAAAGUUUAUCAGUUUGAACAUUAAAUAUAUUGUGUUUGUAGUGUAUUCAAUUAAAUAUAGGUUGAACAUGAUUUACAAAUCAUUGUAUUCUGUUUUUAUUUGUUUAACACGUCCCAACUUCAUUGGAAUUGGGGUUGUAAGUGAGCACCCACCUCCCCCCUGUUCCUAUGACUGCCAGGUCCCCGACUGGCCCUACCUCGUGUAAGAGGUGGAAGCAGGCCCGAGGAACGACAGGGGGCCACCCACCAGCAGCCAGAGCAGGGGACCCAGCUGGCACCGCUCCAGCACCCACGGAACAUGGGCGAGUUACCAUCACACCACCAAUACUCCCCAGGAGGUCACCCCAGUGGUCCCCCAACCCACCCCAUCCCCAAGAUCAGAAAGGAGUGAAAAAAGUCCCACCCCUACAGACGCCGGAACAGCAAACACAGGGACACGAGAAGAACAUCCCCACUCCAUGCAUGUGUCCUCACCAUCCAAACCGAUCUAAAAUGUGUAAAAAUACAAAUAAAAAUAAAUAGAACAAUAAUAUAACAACAACCUCGACAACAAAGAAUACAGAAUUCCAUUGUUUACUUUCACACUUAUGAAAGUAGUCUUGCUAUUGUCAAAUGGCACCCUACCCAGGCAAAGGAAUCAAGAGUCUAGAUUUAGCAUGUUGAGGAAAGCUAUCGACAUAUAUAUGUAAUUUUUUUUUUCGUUCUGCUGAUAUUUUUUCUAACGCAACAUAUUCUAUGAUGAGAUUUAGCCAAUGAUUGAUAGCUUGUUUGUUUUUCCAGUUUAAUAGAAUUGUUUUCUUAGCAGUAGCUAAUGCGACAAGUAAUGAUUGUAAAUAUUUAUUAGGGAGGUCGAUUAUGCUUAAGUCAUCAAGUAUGCACAAUCUUGGGGAAAGUGGAAUCCUGCAGUUCAAAAUAGGGUUUUUGUAUAACCGAAGACCAAAAGCAUUGAAUUGGUAUACAUUCCCAUAUAUGUUUAGAUCCAUAAUAAAAGUUUAAAUUUC